rnacentral:rRNA from 1 species
UUUGAGGGUAACUUUGAAAGUAAUUAGUGGCGCAAGGGUGAGUAACGCGUGGGUAACGUACCCCGGACACGAGGAUAGCCGGCCGAAAGGCCGGGUAAUACUCGAUGAUGUCUUCGGACCGCAUGGUCUGAUGAUCAAUAGAUGGCCUCUAUUUAUAAGCUAUUGGUCUGGGAGCGACCCGCGUCCUAUCAGCUAGUUGGUGAGGUAAUGGCCCACCAAGGCUAAGACGGGUAGCUGGUCUGAGAGGACGACCAGCCACAUCGGGACUGAGACACUGCCCGGACCUCCACGGAGGGCUGCAGCAACGAAUAUUCCGCAAUGCGCGAAAGCGUGACGGAGCGACGCCGCGUGUGGGACGAAGCCCUUCGGGGUGUAAACCACUGUCGGGGUUAAGCAAGCGAAAAGAUCAAAUAGGUCUCGUAGAUGAGCUAUCCCAAAGGAAGCCACGGCUAACUCUGUGCCAGCAGCCGCGGUAAGACAGAGGUGGCAAGCGUUGCUCGGAAUCACUGGGCUUAAAGGGUGUGUAGGCGGUUCGGUAAGCAUUUUGUGAAAGCCCCAGGCUCAACCUGGGAACUGCAGAAUGUACUGCCGGGCUUGAGGCAAGUAGAGGUCACUGGAACUCUGGGUGGAGCGGUGAAAUGCGUAGAUAUCCAGGGGAACGCCCAUGGCGAAGGCAGGUGACUGGGCUUGUACUGACGCUGAGGCACGAAAGCGUGGGUAGCAAACGGGAUUAGAUACCCCGGUAGUCCACGCCCUAAACGAUGUACACUAGCUUAAGGAACUACUGACAGUCUCUGAAGCGUAGGAAAACCGUUAAGUGUACCGCCUGGGGAGUACGGUCGCAAG